CACACCAUGAUAAAAUGGAGUUUUAAGAACGUUUAUGAAAUAAUUUCCUGGGGAAACAGAAUUCCUAAAAUAACAUUGUAUGCAAAGAAGAAGAAGAAGAAGAAGAAGAAGAAGAAGAAGAAGAAGAAGAAGAAGAAGAAGAAGAAGAAGAGGAGGAGGAGGAGGAGGAGGAGGAGGAGGAGGAGGAGGAGGAGGAGGAGGAGGAGGAGGAGGAGGAGGAGGAGGAGGAGGGGGAGGAGGAGGAGGAGGAGGAGGAGGAGGAGGAGAGGAGGAGGGAGGAUUGUAUUUGGUAAGACUAAGGAAACUCUUGGGUUGAAUCAGUUCUUUCCUCUGAAUUCUUUAUAAACUUCCUCUCUAUACCACUUUCAAUUUGAAAUAAACAUUUACAAUAGAUAUUGAAAUGGUUCUUUGAUAUUCUUGAAAACAACCUCCCACCUAUUUUCCUCUUCCUCUUUCCUUCUACUUCCUCCUUUAUAUCUUCUGUUUUGAAAUAUCUGAUUCAAACAUGAAAAUGAAUUCAAACACUUUAGUGGGUCUUUACACACUAUUUUCUCAAAAUGAAGGCCACUUCUCUAUAGAAUAGUAGACUUAAAACCACUAAACCAGAAAAAUCUUGUUUUACAUUUGGAAUGGCACUUGUUUUUAUUUUUAAAAUAACAGUAUAGAUUGUGACUUACAGAUAUUUGAAAGAAAAACUUGUGUUAUCAUUUUUACCAGAGGACUUUUAUGUCGCCAUGCUUUGUACUUUUCAAAAUUGUGUUUGUAUCAUAAAGCUCACAUUCAUUCAUUGACUCUUUCUGCUUUAAAUGUUAGUGUAUGACUAAAGUUUAUCUUCCUGGUCUUGAUCCAUAAUACAGUAGAACAAUUUGGUUAACUCAUUUCAAUCUACUACUCAAGUCAAAAUUAUUAAAUACAUAUAUCUCCUUUCAUUUCCAUAAAUUUUCCACUCAUAGUUGAUGUAUCUAACAUGGCAUUACACUAACGAAGUAGAUGUGUUAACUUCAUGACAUUUGACUAUGAAUAAAACACUGCUGUGUGGACAAAUUAUGUCAGUCAUCAAGCUUUAUACAAAUGCUUAUUAGUAUUAGUCUCAAUGUUUGAAUGCCCUGUGGGUGAACAUACCUCCUCAAACUUAACUCUUGUACAGACCUUUUCAUGUAAUUCCUACAUAUGUUAUUUGAUAUCAAACAACUAAAUGAAAAAUGUUAAAAACAAAAUUGUAACUCACAUUUUUUAGGAUUUAUAUAAUGCAUGUAGUCACAUUUAAGCAACUCCCAAAUCAUGGGUGUUUCCUCCCUACUUUGCUGAUAAAGAUUUCCAACCUCUGUCAAAGUCUUACCCAAUAUAUCUAGGAGUUCACAUAAGUAUCUCCCAAAAGCUACAAACUAUUCUCUCAUGUUCUAUUCUGCAAUCACUCUCCCAUGGCCUUCACUUCCCAUGAAUCAUAACGGUAACUCUUCACUGAUGCUAACUUUUUGGCGAAUAACAUUCCAGAUGAUUUUGUAUUUAUAAAAUAUAAGCAAUACAAAGAAAUAAAGAUGAAUAUGUGUGUGUGUGUGUGUAUAUAUAUAUAUAUAUAUAGUGGUUUGCUUAUUUUAAGACAUUGUAAUUGUUUGUUAAUGUAUUAGAUCAUGAAAUCUUUCUAUGUGCUUACAUAUGUAUUUACUGUUUUUUUUUGUUGUUGUUGCUUUGGUUGCUAGUUUUUACAGUUGCAUAGUAUUAAAGGAAUGGCUAUACAACAGCUGGUUUAUCUAGUCUGUUGCUGACAGAUAUCUGUUCCCAGUUUUUUUAUUGCUGUUGUUAUAAACAUGCUCUAACUUUAUCAUGUACAUAUACUGUUCUACAUUUGGUUAGGCAUAAAUAAAGUAAAUUAUUAGAAGAUAACUGGGUUAGUAUCCACAACUUAAAUUUUGGUAGAUAUUGCUAUAUUUCCUAAACGAAGUAAAUCAGAGUUUAUUUUUCUACACACUUACCAAAAAAAAAAAAAAAAAAAAAAAAAUCUCUCUACACACACACACACACACACACACACACACAAAAUCAAUAUAUCUCACUACUAUUGAAGCAAUUAUUUUGGCCAUCCUUCAA
rnacentral:lncRNA from 1 species